rnacentral:rRNA from 1 species
UGGGGAAUUUUGCGCAAUGGGCGAAAGCCUGACGCAGCAACGCCGCGUGGAGGAUGAAGGUCUUUGGAUUGUAAACUCCUGUCAGCGGGGAAAAAGGGACUCGACCUCAUACGUCGGGAACUUGAUUGUACCCGCAGAGGAAGCCCCGGCUAACUCUGUGCCAGCAGCCGCGGUAAUACAGAGGGGGCAAGCGUUAUUCGGAAUUAUUGGGCGUAAAGGGCGCGUAGGCGGCCUUGCAAGUGGCGGGUGAAAUCCCUCGGCUUAACCGAGGAACUGCCUGCCAGACUGUGAGGCUCGAGACCGGGAGAGGUGAGUGGAAUUCCCAGUGUAGCGGUGAAAUGCGUAGAUAUUGGGAGGAACACCAGUGGCGAAGGCGGCUCACUGGACCGGAACUGACGCUGAGGCGCGAAAGCGUGGGGAGCAAA